UCAGGUUUCAGGGCUGUCUUUAAGGAGCGCACAGUCCUGACCUUUUCCAUGGACAUGGCAGUUGACCCAGACUUGCAGGUAGAGGACGAUGGCUAUGACCAGGAUGAGCUGGAGGCUGGUCUGCUGAUGGAGCUGGUGGCCACCUGCGUGGAGAUGGUGUUGGGCCGGGGCUGUGGACACGGCGAGACCUGCCAGGACUGCAGCGGCACCGGCUGCUCCGUUGGAAGACUCUGUGCUGAUGCUAAAUGGUGCCGGGAUUGAAACUGAAGAGAAGGUGGAUGCAGUGAUGUCCUGCCGUUAUGACAAGUUUCUAAGUGCUAAAACACCCAAAGCCAUUUUGAAGGACACUAAAAAUAAAGGCGGAUCAGAUAAAGGAAUGCGGGUUGUGUUGAACUUUACAGGCAGUCACAACUUCCUGCAAUGCUCCAAAAGUGAUGCUGGUGUACAUUUGAGUGUUGUGACAUGCAAGGAUGAAGAAAGUACAUCUCUAAGAAAGUCAAUCUCUAAGAAAGAUCUGCCAUUUGUCUUCUUCAUGAAAGCGAACGAGGGUGGAGAGCACACUUUAGAGUCAGCAUGUGAGGGGUGUGGAUGCAGGGCCUGCACCGAAGAAAACAGAACAAAUGGACUCACUGUACUUCUUCAUUAAGUAUCCUAAAUAAUGAGGAUACUAAAAAAGGAGUACUAAAAG